rnacentral:rRNA from 1 species
UGAGGAGUAUUGGACAAUGGGCGCAAGCCUGAUCCAGCCAUGCCGCGUGCAGGAUGACGGUCCUAUGGAUUGUAAACUGCUUUUGUACAGGAAGAAACACUCCGACGUGUCGGAGCUUGACGGUACUGUAAGAAUAAGGAUCGGCUAACUCCGUGCCAGCAGCCGCGGUAAUACGGAGGAUCCAAGCGUUAUCCGGAAUCAUUGGGUUUAAAGGGUCCGUAGGCGGUUUAGUAAGUCAGUGGUGAAAGCCCAUCGCUCAACGGUGGAACGGCCAUUGAUACUGCUAAACUUGAAUUAUUAGGAAGUAACUAGAAUAUGUAGUGUAGCGGUGAAAUGCUUAGAGAUUACAUGGAAUACCAAUUGCGAAGGCAGGUUACUACUAAUUGAUUGACGCUGAUGGACGAAAGCGUGGGUAGCGAACAGG